ACUGCCUCCUGUGGGAGCAAGGAGUCAGCUAGACUGAGUACAAAGCUUCAGAAAAAAGACGAGAGAGACUUGUUGGAUAUGUUUAUUAAAUGAGAAUAAGAAGAUCUGCAGCCCAUUCAACCCAGUAUGAACAUGAAAUGUACAUGAAAAUAUGCAUGGGUUUUCAUGUGUACUU